rnacentral:misc_RNA from 1 species
CAUUGUCAUGGCAGAAAACCAGUAGGGCAACAUAGCACCCACGAUCAAGCCAAUGAAAACUUUGGGUGUCAAGACGUCAACAACACUGACACCAGCACGGCUGACAAAGGCACCGAAGAGGGCAAGGGACACAAGAGCAGCUGAGCCAAUGGCAAAACCCUUUCCAAUGGCUGCAGUUGUGUUUCCAGCAGCAUCGAGGGCAUCGGUUCUCUCCCGAAUUCUGUGGCUCAUGCCAGCCAUCUCUGCAAUGCCUCCAG